AAGACUUUAAAAAAAAUCUGUCAGAGUGUUGCGUCUGUAUAUCUGUGGACAACUAUACAUCGAAAACGCUCGAAAAGUUCCAACGGUGCCCUCAAUUUAACAGGGCAUGUAAAGUUCGUCUAAGGAAUGCGAAGUACGUGUCAUGUGUGAUAAAAUGAAGUCAAUAAUCAAUUAGUAUAUCCACUCGUGCAACCCUCUCGACAAACGCCCAUAGAGAUUGGCACGAAUGGUGCAGCUUGGUGCAGUUGCCGCAGCGCAGAGCGACCAGAAUCCUGUGUGUGUGGGUUGCCUGUUGCACCAUUGCAAUCCGUUGGACAACAAAACGGUGGCGCAGCAGCAUCGAUCGCGCAUGUCUACUUAUAAAUGACUUAUAUUGAUGUGUUGUGCGAAUUGCAUCAGUGUGGCUAAUAGGCGCAUGGGGCGGUACAAAAGGGUGCAAAGAACCUGUUGCAAGUAUGGAGUCUUACAAUUCUUUCCACACGGGCAAUGGUUCUGAAUGAGCUUACUGUGUGUUCUAAUUCAUGUGCUGCUCAAGACCAUUUUGCCACUUGACCCUUCCAUUUUCAGCGGGCAGAUGGACCGCAAUAUCCCACAUAUGGCUGCCCGUUUGUUAUUUUAGAACAAUUUACGUGGGAUAGAUUUCACGGACACUACACUCACGCUCACUCGCGAUCUUGUUGUCCCACGACGUGUCGCAUAUAGAGCGAGCAACCAUCAGAACUUGGUUCAACUUUACGGCAACGCGCGCAGUUCCACAGCGACGGUGACGCGACGCGGCGCCUCAUAGGAGAAGCAAAGGUUUUGCUGCGACGAAACGAUGUAUAGCCCCCGCUUUGUAAAUCCUCAUCCGGCUGGCAGGGCGAGUUGUGCGACUUGGUUUCAUCGCUAUAAAUCUAGGUGCGCAUUGUGGACGUGCCCACACAAAACAUUGCUUAACGAAAAUUUUAGUUUGAAGAAUCUCGCAUACGAUCAUAGUGAAACAUAAUCAUUAAUAUAGACCAAUAAAUAUCCUGUUUGAAACACUCUAAACUUCAA